CACGGUCCAGACUCCUACGGGAGGCAGCAGUGGGGAAUAUUGCACAAUGGGCGCAAGCCUGAUGCAGCCAUGCCGCGUGUAUGAAGAAGGCCUUCGGGUUGUAAAGUACUUUCAGCGGGGAGGAAGGUGUUGAGGUUAAUAACCUCAGCAAUUGACGUUACCCGCAGAAGAAGCACCGGCUAACUCCGUGCCAGCAGCCGCGGUAAUACGGAGGGUGCAAGCGUUAAUCGGAAUUACUGGGCGUAAAGCGCACGC
rnacentral:rRNA from 1 species